CUAAAUUCCUUCGUUAUUGUCUUCAAGUAAGAAGCAAAAUAAUGUCUUCUUGGUGCCUUGUUGUCUAUCCGGUUUUCUCUUUGGUGUUCUAUCAAGCUGCAUUCCUACAGUUUGGCAACAUAGAAGGGAAGUGAAACUGCUUAUACUUUCUGCUUAACUGUUAUACUAGGUUCAGAUUAGGUUUCUUCUUUCCAUUUCUUUUUCAGCUCACCCCAGAACAUGUCUUAGGUAAUAAUAAAGUAAUAAUAAUAAUAAUAAUAUAAUGUAUCAAUAAUAAGAGAAGGAACAUCUAAUGAGCUCCUUUCUGCUAGGCACUGUGGUGAGUGCUUUACAUGGAUCAUCUAUAACCCUCAUAAAGUCCUUACAAGAUAAGUACCAGAUUUUGCCCUGCUUUCCAGAUGAGCACACCUCCACUGGGAGGUCUGGUGACUAGUCCACGGUGACAGACCUGGGAACUGUGGGUCUGGAGUGGGAAUGCUGGCAGUCAGUCUGACUCUAAACCCCAUGGCCCUACAUGUGUGCGACACAGUCCCUUAUUGGGACUGACUGACUCCACGUCCCCAUGUUGAGCCCUGUUCCAGGACAGAGCCGUGAGCAAGCCAAGGCUGGCCCCUGUCCUAUGAUGCCUGAGAGUGUCCCUCCCUGUAGGCCUGGGGCCUGGAGAGCAGCUAGGGACAUGUCUACUCCAGAGUGAAACUCUGCCAUGCACUUGCUGUAUCUUCUGCUCCCGUUCACUUUCUGAGCCUCAAUUUCCAUCUUUAAACAUUGCAGGGAUUCAGACUGAAGAUUAAUCAGAAGGAAAGGCCUUUCCCUACUGAUGUCUCAGUCUUCUCAGUAUUCAACAGCCGGGAGUCACUGAAUAACCAGCAACGGACCUUGGGGAUCAGAGAUGAAGAAACUAAAACACAGAAGUCAAGCAAUCUGCUACAGAUCAGUGAACCAGAACUGGAACCAGGAAGUCUGAAACCAGAGUCUGCUGUUUAUCACAGGCAACUUUUAGGCAAAGAAAAUAUGUAAAGACGGAAACUUUAGUUCCUUUACGUUAUUCAGGAACUUGGCAGGAC